UACGUAGGGGGCAAGCGUUGUCCGGAAUUAUUGGGCGUAAAGAGCGUGUAGGCGGCCAGAUAAGUCCGCUGUGAAAUCUCGAGGCUCAACUUCGAGCUGUCGGUGGAAACUAUCUGGCUAGAGUCCGGAAGAGGAGAAUGGAAUUCCUGGUGUAGCGGUGAAAUGCGCAGAUAUCAGGAAGAACACCAGUGGCGAAGGCGGCUCACUGGACUGGUAUUGACGCUGAGGUGCGAAAGCGUGGGGAGCAAACAGG
rnacentral:rRNA from 1 species